CACCUCUCAGGUUUGCACCUGGAGAGUGUCUAGUACUCUACCAGUCUGGACUAUGGGAGGGAGAGUCAAGCAGAGGGCUAUCCAUCCAUUCCAUUCCUAGCUUGGGCAGUGGAUAGCAAAUGGAAGGCAAUCUGCUACAAAU